UCAUAGAAUCAUGGAAAGGAUGACAAAUAACGAGAAGGCUCAUCCAGUGGGUGUGUGUGGUGGUGAGGGAUUUGAGGGCUGAUGGAUGAGCCUGUUUCAUCAGCAGGUGAGCAGGAAGUACUCAGGGUUAUGAGUUAGGACACUUGGACUUUUGUCCAGCCUCAUUUACCACCUGGACAAGUCUCUAUACAAGCCGUGGUUUCCUCAUCUAUAAAAGCCUACCCAGCUUGAAGCUUCCAAAAUCUAUGUUGUCUCUGGAAUUCUUAGUAAGGUUCCCACCCCAGGACUGUCUUCCCCAGAUGCAGUUCAACAGAAGGAAGAAACAGAGCAAGACUAGCCUUUCUUUCUUCUCUUCCUUUGAAGAAUUAAGUGGUCUUGUUGGCUAGGACGUGUACCUGGUUCAGCUCUCUCCCCCAGGACUUCUUACCUGGGCUCCUUUUGAUUUCCUGCACGCAGUAGGAGGAAUCUAGAUCAUCGGGACUAGAAAGAAGCAGCUUCCUUCUGAUUGGGCGGCGUCUCUGAUCCUCAACUUCAGGUGCAAGGAGAGGCAAAGAAGGUGAGUGCUGCAACUGAUUGAACCAGAGCGGAGAACACAGGGAGAGGACAUCAGGUCAGGCAAAGAACAUUUCUUCCCCGAACAUGGCUAUUCACCGCUGGGGGCCUUCUCUUCUUCACCGCUUUUCACUGUCAGGUGAUAUUGGGCACUGAAGACACAGGCUCUACCAGUGUUGUGGGGAAGAAGAGGUUGUAGUGGCCUGUGGCUGCAAGGUACAAGGUGACUGCAAUGUUGAAGGGCAGAGUGAAGACCGGGAGGUCCCACUUGCUGAAGAUGGAAUUCAAGGCACUAGAAAGAACUGGGCUGAAGAUGGAAGAGACAGAGGGUUAAUCCCUGUGACAUCCUGAGGUCUACAUUGUCUCAGCAGCUCUGGCCACUGUAUCAUCCACUGCCUCCUCUCCUAGGCACAGCAUUCCUGGCCCCCUUGAGACUCCAGUGUUCCAAUGAUCUGGGAUAGGGAAUAGAAUAAGGGUCAGUGAUGUGAGGGUACCUGCUUCAUGGGCCACACAGUGAGUUGACACAGGAGCUAAGACUGUCUCAGCCUUCUUUGCUCAACAGCAUUCCCAACCUCCUUGUGUUGGGCCCUGGACUCUUCCCUAAGGUUCUCUCCCUCAUCCAAUGACUGUGGGCAUGUGCUAUGCCAUGGUGUGAAGCUGGGUCUUCCUUUGUGCAAGCUGGGCUGCCUCAAAGCAUCUACCAGUAAAUCCUUGAAACUGAAAAAGGCCAGCCGGCUCAUUGUCAGGAGAGGAGAACUAGAGGGCUUUGUGGCAUAGCAUCUUGGAGGGAAGAACCCCCAGGCAGAGCCUGGAUGUGGACAGCUUUCCAGAGAAAAGAGCAGGCUGCCAGGAAGAAAGCCAGCUGGGAGCAACAGUCCCUCGUGGCUCCAUUGUGUUUGAAAGUACAACUAACCCAAUACUCAGCACAAAGAAUUAAAUAAAUGUUUGUCAAAUUGA